UCAAGUCGGGAGCUCGGUCCCCGCGCCCCGCAGCCCGCCGCGUCGAGGUACGGCCUGGCGAGCUGGGCGGCCCGGAGCCGGCUCCCAGUGCCCUCCCGCGGCAGGGCCAGGAGCCCCGGGACAGUCCCUGAGCAGGGCACCCUGCAUGGGGACACGAAGUCGCGCGGGUCCCAGCACCCAGGAGCCGCCCAUCUCCACCUUCAUCCCCCCGCCCUCCCCGGGCCGGCCCUCCAGUAGGUUCGAGAGAAAGUGACCCAGAGUUUCAGAACCCCCCACCCACCUCCCCCGCCGUCCUGGGGCUGAAUCCAAGACACACACGCCUUGUUUUCCACAUUCCCGGCUCUACCCGGGCCUGGGGUACGUGAGCGCACAGCGGCACGCACCCCUAGGUCCCCCGGGGUGCCUUUGCUUUCAAGAAGGUGCAAGGUGGAAUGAGACGCCUGGCCUCACCGUCCCUGAGCUUUCCCGGUGGACCCCAGGCCGCUGAGCCGGGUUCCCCGAAGCAGCGCUCAGGGAGCGGUCAGGCAGCACUCGCGCCUGGAGGUCUCCCGUGCACACCCUAGCGGGGACCCUCCCCUCCCCGCCCCAGAUCUUUGGGCUGGUCGGUGGCCCCGUCCCCUCCUAAUGAGAACGAGGGCCAUGCCUCAGCCGGGGCUGGCUGGUGACGGGUUACUGAACUGUUAAAUAACUGUCAGUAAGCAGUCAGGGGGUUUUGGGGAAAAAAAAAAAAAUCUCAUUUUUCUCACUUCUGUAAUGACUUUAAUUACGUUCCGCUGCGCUCUCCAAAAAGCGACAGGUUGUGUUUGACAGGCUGUCGGUCCUCUAGCUCCUUCAAAGGGUUCUCGUUUACACGUCAGCCUGCCGGGAGGCGUCUUUGCUUGUCUUGUAAUCAGCCUCCCUGA